AUUGAACGCUGGCGGCAGGCCUAACACAUGCAAGUCGAACGAGUGGCGGACGGGUUAGUAAUGUCUGGGCAACUGCCUGAUGGAGGGGGAUAACUACUGGAAACGGUAGCUAAUACCGCAUACCAUCGGAUGUGCCCCGAUGGGUUUAGCUAGUGGGUUGGGUAAAGGCUCACCUAGGCGACGUUCCCUAGCUGGUCUGAGAGGAUGACAAGCCACACUGGAACUUAGACACGGUCCAGACUCCUACGGUAGGCAGAAGUGGGGAAUAUUGAACAAUGGGCGCAAGCCUGAUGCAGCCAGGCCGCGUGUAUGAAGAAGGCCUUCGGGUUGUAAAGUACUUUCAGCGGGGAGGCGUUACCCGCAGAAGAAGCACCGGCUAACUCCGUGCCAGCAGCCGCGGUAAUAC
rnacentral:rRNA from 1 species